rnacentral:rRNA from 1 species
GACGUAGGGCGCGAGCGUUGUCCGGAUUUAUUGGGCGUAAAGAGCUCGUAGGCGGCUCGUCGCGUCGACCGUGAAAACCCGCGGCUUAACUGCGGGCUUGCGGUUGAUACGGGCGGGCUAGAGUUCGGUAGGGGAGACUGGAAUUCCUGGUGUAGCGGUGAAAUGCGCAGAUAUCAGGAGGAACACCGGUGGCGAAGGCGGCAUCCUGGACCGACACUGACGCUGAGGCGCGAAAGCUAGGGGAGCAAACGGG